rnacentral:ribozyme from 1 species
UUGUUUGUUGCUUUGUCUUUCUUGUUCUUUUCUUCUUUUUUUUUUCUGCUGAUUGAUGGAA